GAUGAACGCUGGCGGCGUGCCUAAUACAUGCAAGUCGAGCGAACGGACGAGAAGCUUGCUUCGCUGAUGUUAGCGGCGGACGGGUGAGUAACAUGUGGAUAACCGACCUAUAAGACUGGGAUAACUUCGGGAAACCGGAGCUAAUACCGGUUAAUAUUUUGAACCGCAGGGUUCAAAAGUGAAAGACGGUCUUGCUGUCACUUAUAGAUGGAUCCGCGCUGCAUUAGCUAGUUGGUAAGGUAACGGCUUACCAAGGCAACGAUGCAUAGCCGACCUGAGAGGGUGAUCGGCCACACUGGAACUGAGACACGGUCCAGACUCCUACGGGAGGCAGCAGUAGGGAAUCUUCCGCAAUGGGCGAAAGCCUGACGGAGCAACGCCGCGUGAGUGAUGAAGGUCUUCGGAUCGUAAAACUCUGUUAUUAGGGAAGAACAUAUGUGUAAGUAACUGUGCCCAUCUUGACGGUACCUAAUCAGAAAGCCACGGCUAACUACGUG
rnacentral:rRNA from 1 species